rnacentral:rRNA from 1 species
UACAGAGGUCUCAAGCGUUGUUCGGAUUCAUUGGGCGUAAAGGGCGCGUAGGCGGCGGGGUAAGUCUGGUGUGAAAUCUCGGAGCUCAACUCCGAAAUUGCACUGGAUACUGCUCUGCUUGAGGGUUGGAGAGGAGAUCGGAAUUCACGGUGUAGCAGUGAAAUGCGUAGAGAUCCGGAGGAACACCGAAGGCGAAGGCAGUGUCCUGGCGAGUGACUGACGCUGAGGUGCGAAAGCCAGGGGAGCGAACGGG